UUGAGUGUUCGCAGCUCUCGGCUAAACACACAGAGCAGGACUGGGUUUGGCUCACUGCCAGCUAAGUCACUGCUGCCUCAGUCAAGUCCGGUGUGAAAAAAGCAGGAGAUUGUUCAGAUGACUCGGAAAACCUUUUACAAAGCACGACUUUUCAUCUCACAGGUGCCCAGUAAAGGGGAAGGAAAACACAAAAGGACAGAAGGCUAUGUAUCACAGCUACAACUUACUGAAUUUCCUUGCAAACUACUCAAGCUGAGGGAGAUUUCAGAGCCUAAAAUGUGUUGUCUGGUUCAGGAAAACUGCUGUGAAUUUUCACAGUUUUAUAACUGAGCAUGUCCAGAAAUCAAAAUCAGGUUCAUAAGUGAUUUGAGAUUGCAUGUAUGUAAUGUUGGAAAGGUUAAUGAUGAUGCAGACCAAGUGACGGGUGAGGUUUAUUGCCACUUCUUUCACUCAAGGAUUGCCAAUCACAGUCUCAUCACAAAUCUUUUUUUAACAGUGGGGGUGAAAGGGACUGGGUUUAUGAGUGGAUUAGAGCAUCUGACUCUGCUCAGGAUUCUUUUUUAAGUGCAGAGUAUCUUGACAUGGGAGCAUUUAUUUUAAAUUUUGACUGUGGAGACGUGGCUUCUUCAGGAUUCUUGCUUAAGCAGAUACUCCUUAUUAGCUGAAGUGUUUAAUAAUUUGGACUUAAGCAUUUGGACUUAAAACUAAGCUUUCCUUUGGCUCCACUUCAGGGCAUCCUGAAUCUGAAUCUAAGACAUGUUCUUUCUGUGUGUUCUCACAUGUGGUGUCUGUGAAGGGCUUCUGUGUCUGGGAGAGGUGUGCAUUUCUUAGAGGCUUCAUGACUUCUCCAUGAUCUUCUCACUUGGUACAAAUAAAACAUUGAAAAUGUUUUUGUGAUCUCUUC